rnacentral:rRNA from 1 species
UACAGAGGUCCCAAGCGUUGUUCGGAUUCACUGGGCGUAAAGGGUGCGUAGGCGGUCGGGUAAGUCUGACGUGAAAUCUUCAAGCUCAACUUGGAAACUGCGUCCGAUACUAUUCGGCUAGAGGAAUGGAGGGGAGACUGGAAUACUUGGUGUAGCAGUGAAAUGCGUAGAUAUCAAGUGGAACACCAGUGGCGAAGGCGAGUCUCAGGACAUUUCCUGACGCUGAGGCACGAAAGCCAGGGGAGCAAACGGG